CCUACGGGUGGCAGCAGUGAGGAAUAUUGGUCAAUGGGCGGGAGCCUGAACCAGCCAAGUCGCGUGAGGGAAGACGGUCCUAUGGAUUGUAAACCUCUUUAGGCGGGGAGCAAUGCCGGGCACGCGUGCCCGGAGGGAGAGUACCCGCAGAAUAAGCAUCGGCUAACUCCGUGCCAGAAGCCGCGGUAAUACGGGGGAGGCGAGCGUUAUCCGGAUUGAUUGGGUUAAAAGGGUGCGUAGGCGGAUUUUUAAGUCAGCGGUAAAAUGUCCGGGCUCAACCCGGGCCGGCCGUUGAAACUGGGGAUCUUGAGUGGGCGAGAAGUAUGCGGAAUGCGUGGUGUAGCGGUGAAAUGCAUAGAUAUCACGCAGAACUCCGAUUGCGAAGGCAGCAUACCGGCGCCCGACUGACGCUGAGGCACGAAAGCGUGGGGAUCGAACAGGAUUAGAUACCCUGGUAGUC
rnacentral:rRNA from 1 species